AAACCCGGAGGGGAUCCUGCCGGGGCCCUUCACCCCGAGGAGCCAGUCCUGCAGCUGCCCGACUCCUCGGGGCCAGCGACUGAGGCCUGGGGCCUGGGGAGGCGGCCACGGGCAGAAGAGGAGGCCGCUGCUGGGGCCGGAGGCCUGAGGCGCGCGGGGCCUUCCCCGGGAUGCCUCCGCUGACAGCUCUGUGACAGGCCUCCUGGGGCGGGAGGCACGUGCAGGGCCCUCGGCUCUGCAGCAAAGCCUCUCUGCCACGCCGAGGGGCCAGAUUUACCUCAGGUCAAUCUCUCUGCGGGGGAAGCCAGACACCAUGCUACGAGGAUGCUCAAGCAGCCCUGUGGAGAGAUACAAUUGCUGGGGAACUGACACCUCCCACAAACUUGCCAGCCAUGUGAAUGAGCCAUCUUGGAAGUGGAUCCUCCAGCUCCAGUCAAGCCUUAAGAUAAACUGAACUGUACUCCCAGCCAACAUCUUCACUACAACCUCACUAGAGACACUGAGCUGGAACCACAUGACAAUAGUAUUGGCCUCAUAAGUUAAUAAAGAGCUGCUCUUGAAUUCCUGACCCACAGGAACUGUGUGAGAUAAUAAAUGUUUAUUAUUGUUUUAA